CCUGAUGAGGACCAAAUAGAUUUGAGGAUGGCAGCUACCAUCAGACAGCGAACAGAAGCUGUUGUCAGCCUGCCAGUGGCCACAACCAAAGAAAACUACCCUUACCUGAUGGACACUGCAAGGUUUUUUAACGAAUGCAAGAGGCGGUAUUGGCCCAUUUGAAGAGACUCAGAGUACACCGCAGCGUAUUCGAGAGCUUGCAAUUAACGGCAGAACUUAAUACAAACCAACACCUGCGCAACCUGCUCCUUCCUGAUGGUGGACAGGAGGAUAUAGAGAAAGACGACGAGCACAUCUCCUUGCUAUCCACACCCUUCGAAUCCUGGGACAAUUAAAAAUUAAUUAAGGCCUUCUUCCGCCUAUGAGGCUAGUAUGGGAAUCUCAGACGAGGUCUUGAUCCUACGCAUCCUGCAGGUUGCUUUGGUAGGAGACGCCGCCCGCUGGCUUCGACUGCAGUCGAGGUUCACGUCCUUGCAGGACUUCAAGCAGCGGUUUAAAAACGAAUUCCUUCCCCCGGAUUACGAAUAUCGUAUCCUGGAGGAGCUGCACAAACGUACUCAGCAUCCAGAUGGGACGUUGGCAGGAUUCGUACGGGCCCUGCAAGAGCUGUACAGCAGAGCAGAACCAACUGCAACAGAGCAGCAGCGAGUAGCACGGGCUAUCCGUCAGUGCCACCAACGCUUCCGGCCCUACCUUCGAGCCCAUCGCUUCGAUAGUCUUGAAGCGUUGGCGCAGGAGGCUCGUACCAUACAGGGCGACAUACAGGCCGAACUCGAAUAUCGGCCCCCGCCGCCGCCUGAAUGGGCGUUAGAACCAUGCUGUGCGUGGUCAGCGGGAGCAGCCUCGGUCGAACGCCUACCUGCAGUGGGACAGGAUGAGCACCACCGCAAUCCUUAUGCGGAGCCAUCCCGCCGAGCAAUCGAUCCCUUGCGCCAUGGACAGAGGGCGAUCCCCGCAGGAACGAGCCAUGACAGACCCGUCCUGC